GACGAACGCUGGCGGUGUGCUUAACACAUGCAAGUCGUGCGACGACCCAGAGCUUGCUCUGGGGCACAGCCGCGAACGGGUGAGUAACACGUGGGUACUCUACCCCGAUGACCGGGACAACCCGAGGCAACUCGGGCUAUUACCGGAUGUGGUGCGGAGACAUAGGUCUCUUCACUAAAGUUAGCUUCGGCUUCCGCAUUGGGAGGGGCCCGCGGCGCAUUAGCUUGUUGGUGGGGUCAAGGCCUACCAAGGCAACGAUGGGUAGCUGGUCUGAGAGGACGAUCAGCCACACUGGGACUGAGACACGGCCCAGACUCCUACGGGAGGCAGCAGUGGGGAAUCUUGCGCAAUGCGCGAAAGCGUGACGCAGCAACACCGCGUGAGGGAAGAAGGCCUUAGGGUUGUAAACCUCUUUUAGAUGGGACGAAGGUUCUCCGGUGAAUAGCCGGGAGGAUUGACGGUACCGUCAGAAGAAGCUCCGGCUAACUACGUG
rnacentral:rRNA from 1 species